rnacentral:piRNA from 1 species
UGGGAAUGAGUCUGGAAAUGAGCAGUGA